GCGGGCGUAGCUCAAUUGGUAGAGCAUCUGCCUUCCAAGCAGAUUGUCGCCGGUUCGAUUCCGGCCGCCCGCU
rnacentral:tRNA from 1 species